UACGUAGGGUCCAAGCGUUGUUCGGAUUUACUGGGCGUAAAGGGCGCGUAGGCGGCUUAACAAGUCACUUGUGAAAUCUCCGGGCUUAACUCGGAACGGCCAAGUGAAACUGUCAAGCUAGAGUGCAGAAGGGGCAAUCGGAAUUCUUGGUGUAGCGGUGAAAUGCGUAGAUAUCAAGAGGAACAACUGAGGUGAAGACGGGUUGCUGGGCUGACACUGACGCUGAGGCGCGAAAGCCAGGGGAGCAAACGGG
rnacentral:rRNA from 1 species